CGCGGCGGCGCCCGUUUUCUUUGUAACGCCGCUUAAUGCGUUCGGAACUCGCAUACUGUAGCGACCGUGAUUGGGGCGGGCGAGUUGUGUCAUUUCCUACGGUCCCGAGAUGCCGCGAAGGCAACAGCAGGGUGGCUGUCGUUUAUAAAUCGUCCCCCGAAUGGAGCUCAGCGCGACGUGUGCAUUUCCAUUUCAAUGACACCAGAGGGGACAGAACGUCAGCGGAUUCUGCCUCGCGUCCUGAGCCGAGUCAGCGCGUCGUCGACCUGCAAAGACGAGAGAGGCGCCGUGUGUAGUGGCGAGAGAGCGCCCCCCCUCCCCGUUCGCUCGGUCCCCGAACUGCGGCGCUCGCUCGCUCACCGUGAUGAACCAGUGGGACACCGAGCCGUAUUUCCGCUGCGUUAGUUCGCUCAUCUUGCUGGCCGGCGCCAGGGCGUGCAGGUGCAGGUGCGGCACGGAGCAAAACGGAGGCACG